rnacentral:pre_miRNA from 1 species
GGCUAUAGUUAGGUGGGUUAGAUCCCAUAUCCUUCCGCGUAAUGGAAAUGAUAUGUAAUCUAGCUUACAGGUACCU